AUGCUUGAUUGGUACAAAGCAAGAAAGGAGGAAGUGAGAAUUGCGUUUGAUGAGCUAUGCCCAGGAAAUGCACAAAUGAUUUCUUCAACAAUUCAAAAAGCACUUGCCAAAAGUUGUGCAGAUGGGGUCCGAAGAGCAAUAAAACAAGAGAUGGGGGAUAAUCUUUAUUCGGUUCUUAUUGAUGAAUCUCGUGAUAUAUCAAUAAAAGAACAAAUGGCCUUGGUUGUGAGGUAUAUGAGCAAGGGAGAAGUUAUUGAAAGAUUUUUGGGUAUCAAGCAUGUCAAGGAGACAACAGCAGAAGCACUAAAGAAAGCAUUGGUUGAGGUUCUUGGUAAGAAUGGGCUACUUAUUGCAAAUUUACGAGGGCAAGGGUAUGAUGGAGCAUCUAAUAUGAGGGGAGAGUUCAAUAGUGUUCAAAAACUUGUCCGAGAUGAAAACCCAUAUGCUUUCUAUAUGCAUUGUUUCGCCCAUCGAUUGCAGCUAGUAGUUGUUGUUGUCUCAAGAUGUUGUUCUUCCAUUGAGGAUUUCUUUGAAUAUGUGGCCUUGAUUGUGAACGCCGCUGGUUCGUCUUGCAAGAGGAAGGAUAUAUUGCUUGAUAAGCAACGCAUAAAUCUGUUGGCUAAGUUAGAGAGUGGAGAAAUUUUCUCAGGAAGAGGGAAAAACCAGGAAACAUCAUUGGCUAGACCAGGAGAUACAAGAUGGGGCUCUCAUUAUAAAACACUAGUUCGUAUAGAAUCGAUGUGGGAUGCAGUUAUACAAGUGUUAGCUAUUGUGCAUGAGGAUGAGCGUAAUCCAUCUAGGGCAGGAGGUUUGGUGCAGAUAAUGGAGUCUUUUAGCUUUGUGUUCAUCAUGAAAUUGAUGUUGCAAAUCCUUCGCAUUACAAGUCAGUUGUCACUUCUCCUGCAACGGAAGGAUCAGAAUAUUGUUCAAGCCAUGUCUUUGGUUAUAGAUGUGAGGUCUUCCUUGGCCAACUUGAGGAACCAUGGUUGGGAACCACUCUUUGAAGAUGUCAAGAUCUUUUGUAAUGUUAAUGAUAUUCCGGUUCCAAAUAUGGAUGAAGCUGUACCGAGAUUCGGCCGAUCAAGAAAAGGAGGGAGAAAUAAUGUUACUCAAGAACAUUUUUUUCGUGUUGAUACCUUCUAUGCAGCAAUAGAUGCUAUCACCACAGAGCUGGAUCAUCGCUUUAAUGAC
rnacentral:rRNA from 1 species